rnacentral:lncRNA from 1 species
UGGGACAUCGUCUACAGUGCCAGAUAUUAUUAUCUUUUCGUCCGUGCCUAUGUCAUAGAAUUCAGGUAAGAUUUCAACGUGCUGUUCACUUUAUUGUAGGUGCUAUUCUCCAGUAUCAUGAGUGUUGUAUUCCAAAGAACCCCAUUUCAUGGAGCAAUUGCACACAUCAUUUAUGACUGUCAUUAUGAUGUCCUUGAAAUGCUCUGCUGUUUUUUGCAGACAAUAUGUCACAACAACAACAACAGAGACUCUUACUGAAGUAGAAGUGGUGGUUGAGUUCAAUGACCAUGCUGCACCUGGAGAAACCCCAAAGGCUAGUGAUGUGGCAAAAACAUUAGCAAAUGCUGUGUCCAAUCCCAACAACAACUUCAACCUCACUGUUGAUCCCACUACCAUCCAAGCAGUGGUAUUGAACGAGACAACAAGUCCAACAACUGUAGUCCCCAACUUGAGUACUACAGAGGCCACUCAACAAACAACCAUCAGUGCUACACCAGCUCCAACAACAGAGACUACAGCAGCUACUUCGACCGCUCCAGGAAACACAACGUUUGUUCUUGUCUCAGCUGUCUUGAAUACACCAUAUGAACCACAACUCAAUGAUAGCAACAGUGUUGAGUUCAAGACUCUUGAAACAGAAGUUGUACAAAUUUGGGACAUCGUCUACAGUGCAAGAUAUUAUUAUCUUUUCGUCCGUGCCUAUGUCAUAGAAUUCAGGUAAGAUUUCAACGUGCUGUUCACUUUAUUGUAGGUGGUAUUCUCCGGUAUCAUGAGUGUUGUAUUCCAAAGAACCCCAUUUUAUGGAGCAAUUGCACACAUCAUUCAUGACCGUUAUUAUGAUGUCCUUGAAAUGCUCUGCUGUUUUUUGCAGACAAUAUGUCACAACAACAACAACAGAGACUCUUACUGAAGUAGAAGUGGUGGUUGAGUUCAAUGACCAUGCUGCACCUGGACAAACCCCACAGGCUAGUGAUGUGGCAAAAACAUUAGCAAAUGCUGUGUCCAAUCCCAACAACAACUUCAACCUCACUGUUGAUCCCACUACCAUCCAAGCAGUGGUAUUGAACGAGACAAUAAGUCCAACAACUGCAGUCCCCAAGUUGACUACUACAGAAACUACUCAACAAACAACCAUCAGUGCUACACCUGCUCCAACGACAGAGACUACAGUGACAACAACAAGUUCUCCAACAACACAAAGUGCUUCUCCCACAGCAGGAAAUUCCACAAUACCUCCUGAAACAUUUGCUACAACAUCUCAAGCAAUCACACCUGGAACGUCAAAUACACCAAUAUUGACAACUGCAGCACCAACAACAGUUGCAGUAUCAUCAAGUUUUACUUCAGCCACUGCAGAGGUAACAGUAACAUCCUCAGCGGCAUCAACCUCUGCUUCAUCAACAACAACUACAACAACAAACACUGGUGCUUCUACAACUGUGGAAUUAACAACUGCUGAAAGAGGACCAACCUCUGGAAUUUCAGUGUCAUCUACUAGUUUGAUUGUGUCAACUACUAAUACAAAAAUUACGUUCCCCACUAUUACUACAAAUCAUACUACUACAAGUCCUACUAAUCCAGCUACUACUCCUACUACUAUUACUACUACGACUACAACUUCUACUACUUCUACAAUUCCUAAUACUAUUGCCCCUAUCACUCAUACUACGUCUUCAACUACAACUUCUACUACUCCUACUACUACUACUACUACUACUACUACUACUUCUACUUCCACCACCACCACAACGACGUUGACUCCCCCAGCAGUUGUACUUGUCACAGCAGUUUUGGUUGUACCAUUUACAUCACAACUCACUGACAGCAACAGCAUUGAAUUCAAAACUCUGGAACUACAAGUUGUUACAAUUUGGGACGUCAUCUACCGGGCAAGUUUUGGUGUUCGGUUUCUUCGUUCAUAUGUCAUACAAUUUAGAGAAGCUGUUACCAUAACCAAAUCAGCCAAUACUGAAGCAGAUGUGGGAAUUGUGUUUAAUACUACAGUAGACCAGGUCCCACCCACUAAUGAUGUGGCAAAUCAGUUAGUAAUGGCUUUGUCCAACCCCAACAACACCUACAACCUUACUAUUGUUCCUUCAUCUGUCGCAGCAGUUUAUUUAAAUCCAACAACAAAUGCAACAACAGUGCCACCUACACUGAACAGCACCACAGGUGUACAAGUGUACACAGCCACCAGUGGUACAUCGGGGCCUACUACAACUACUGCUGCUGUUGUGGCAUUUACAAAAAAGAGUCUUAUUUUCAAAUCUAAGGAGACAUUUACUAGUGACUUGAAUAAUCCAUCAUCCACAGCAUAUACAAAUCGAGCCUUCGUGAUAACAACAACACUUACUUCCUUCUAUCAAAACGCAUUUGAUUCCUUUAAGUUCUUGCAAGUGACUGAAUUCAGUAAUGGUUCCAUUAACAACAAACUGGAACUUAGUUUUGAUUCUGCAUCUGCUCCCAACGACACUGCGAUUGGGAACGUUUUGAUCCGAGCAGCUCCAAACAUCACCGCCUUUAAUAUUGACAUCACAUACAUUUUUGUGGAUGGCACUCAAGUGUCAAGUGGAAUAAGCCAGAGGAUCAGUGUCCUUACUGCAACCUGCCUUGUGCUUCUGUCAUGGCUGCUAUCAAACCAGUAA